AUACGGGGGGUGAAAGCGUUGUCCGGAAUCAUUGGGCGUAAAGGGUUCGUAGGUGGAAUUAUAAGUCUGGUGUGAAAGCCCACAGCUCAACUGUGGAACUGCACUGGAUACUGUUUUUCUUGAGUUAUAGAGGGGUUUGUGGAAUUUCUGGUGUAGAGGUGAAAUUUGUAGAGAUCAGAAAGAACACCGGUGGCGAAGGCGACAAACUGGCUAUUAACUGACACUGAGGAACGAAAGCGUGGGGAGCGAACAGGAUUAGAAACCCUAGUAGUCC
rnacentral:rRNA from 1 species